CAUCCUCACCAGGUCCAACGCAUCCCUUAAAAUGAUCUUUCCACGAUCCCUCGGUGGAAAAUGAAUCGCCCUUCAAGGAUAUCCUAAGAAAACUUCUGGCAGAGGCUUGGCAGUGUAAGUUCAAGCUCUCAUGAUUUUAAGUUGGCUUCCCAUUAAAGGCCAGCAUGCUUAGCAUGUACGUAGGUCUCAUCACCAUCACCAGCACCUCCCAAAGUAGAACUCUGUUUGUCACAAGUGUCCAGAGGAGUGAAGGGAGCACAGGAAGAGACACGAGCCAGCCUCCCAGGUCCACUUGAAGACCACAAGAAGGCACCAGGACCCCAAGAGCUGAGUUUUUGCAUGGUUGUAAGCACCUUUUGUGGAUACUUGGGACCAAAUGCCCAUCUUCUGCAAGAACAUAAGGAUUUCUUUACCACUGAGCCACCUGAAUUACGCUGCACCAAAAGGUUCUGGACCCUAGUGGUUCAGAAAAUACAAAAAUGGGCGUCAAAUAAUAAUAAUGGGUGUCAAUAAUGUUGACACCCUUGAUAAAUGAAAUGUGAUACAGUUUGGGGCCCUGUUAACUAAA
rnacentral:lncRNA from 1 species